rnacentral:rRNA from 1 species
AGCUCCAUUAGCGUAUAUUAAAGUUGUUGCAGUUAAAAAGCUCGUAGUUGGAUUUGUGGGUGGAGGAGCCGACCCGACGCUUUGCGUGGGUGUUGGUCUCCUCUGUCCAUCCUUGGGUGGAACCUGUGUGGCAUUAAGUUAUCGUGCAGGGGAUGCCCAUCUUUUACUGUGAAAAAAUUAGAGUGUUCAAAGCAGGCUUACGCCGUUGAAUAUGUUAGCAUGGAAUAAUGAGAUAGGACCUGGGUACUAUUUUGUUGGUUUGCGCACCGAGGUAAUGAUUAAAAGGGACAGUUGGGGCUCUUCGUAUUCCGUUGUCAGAGGUGAAAUUCUUGGAUUUCCGGAAGACGAACGACUGCGAAAGCAUUGAGCAAGGAUGUUUUCAUUA